CCUACGGGUGGCAGCAGUGGGGAAUAUUGCACAAUGGGCGAAAGCCUGAUGCAGCAACGCCGCGUGAAGGAAGAAGGGUUUCGGCUCGUAAACUUCUGUCAACAGGGACGAAAGAAAUGACGGUACCUGAAUAAUGAGCCCCGGCUAACUACGUGCCAGCAGCCGCUGUAAUACGUAGGGAGCCAUCGUUAUCCGGAAUUAAUGGGUGUAAAGGGUGAGUAGGCGGCAUGGUAAGCCAGAUGUGAAAGCCUUGGGCUUAAACCGAGGAUUGCAUUUGGAACUAUCACGCUAGAGUACAGGAGAGGAAAGCGGAAUUCGUAGUGUAGCAGUGAAAUGCGUAGAUAUUAGGAAGAACACCAGUGGCGAAGGCGGCUUUCUGGACUGAAACUGACGCUGAGGCACGAAAGCGUGGGGAGCGAACAGGAUUAGAUACCCGGGUAGUC
rnacentral:rRNA from 1 species